AGCUUCUGUGACUUGUCCAAGACCAUGCAGUUAGUUCACAGUGAGGCAAAAAAUCAGUUGUAGAAGCACUUCAGGGAAUUCGGAUACUAUUUUGUGGCCAGGCAAGAUCAGCAGCCUUACUAUCUUAGUCCCUGCCAGUCAUCAGUUCUGGUUUCCCUGUUAUCCUGCUGCUCCCUAGAAUGCAGCUAUCAAGUGGCCUAAGAGCCAGCACCUUCAUGGAGUAGCAAAGGAAUGGGACAGAAGACUCCAGCUACAAUGGGAACCAACCAGUGUCUAUGUUGUACAGCCUGUUCCAGCAGUCCCAGUUGCCUAAAGUCCUAGCUAAGGUAAUGCAUUGUAAGACAAUGCAGAAUAAGAUUCAGCCUGUGGAAAUCCACAAUGCUUGAACUAACAGCAAUAGUGAUCUAUAUAGUCUCAAGGAGGCUGAUGCUUGUGUUGGAGGCCUUCUGAGCAUCUUCCAUAUCCAUCUGGCCUUGUAAACACUUUUUUCCUCUGGUAUACACAAGGAAUGAACCAUAAAAGCAGAAACUCCA
rnacentral:lncRNA from 1 species